rnacentral:rRNA from 1 species
UACGUAGGGGGCAAGCGUUAAUCGGAAUUACUGGGCGUAAAGCGUGCGCAGGCGGUUUUGUAAGUCUGACGUGAAAUCCCCGGGCUCAACCUGGGAAUUGCGUUGGAGACUGCAAGGCUAGAAUCUGGCAGAGGGGGGUAGAAUUCCACGUGUAGCAGUGAAAUGCGUAGAGAUGUGGAGGAACACCGAUGGCGAAGGCAGCCCCCUGGGUCAAGAUUGACGCUCAUGCACGAAAGCGUGGGGAGCAAACAGG